rnacentral:lncRNA from 1 species
AUGCAUGGAUCCUGCUGGUCUCCCCACAGUCCCUCUGGCCACACACGGACCCUACUGGUUUCCCACCAUCCCUCCUGCCCUGCCGAUUGCUGCGCAUGGACCCUGUCAUCCUCCCAUGGUCCCUCUGGUCCCGCAGACCACCAUGCAUGGACAGUGAUGGCCUCUUGUGGUCUCUCUGGUCCUACUGACCACCAUGCAUGGAUAGCGAUGGUCGCUUGUGGUCCCUCCUGUCCUACCAACCACUGUGCAUGGACCCUGCCACCUGCCAUCCUCCCAUGGUCUCUGGGAUCCUACAGACCAUACAUGGACCCUGCCAUCUCCCAUGGUCCCUCUGAUCCUACAGACCACCAUGCAUGGACAGUGAUGGCCUCCUGUGAUCCCUCUGAUCCUACAGACCACCAUGCAUGGAUGGUGAUGGCCUCCUCUUGUCCCUUCUGCCCUACCAAUGACCAUGCAUGGACCCUGCCAUCCUGCCAUGGUCCCUCUGAUCCUACAGACCACCAUGCAUGGACAGUGAUGGCCUCCUGUGGUCCUUCCUGCCCUACCAAUGACCAUGCAUGGACCCUGCCAUCCUCCCAUGGUCCCUCUGAUCCUACAGACUAUCAUGCAUGGAUGAUGAUGGACACCUGUGGUCCCUCCUGCCCUACCAAUGACCAUGCAUGGACCCUGCCAUCCUCCCAUGGUCCCUCUGAUCCUACAGACUAUCAUGCAUGGAUGAUGAUGGACACCUGUGGUCCCUCCUGCCCUACCAAUGACCAUGCAUGGACCCUGCCAUCCUCCCAUGGUCCCUCUGAUCCUACAGACUAUCAUGCAUGGAUGAUGAUGGACACCUGUGGUCCCUCCUGCCCUACCAAUGACCAUGCAUGGACCCUGCCAUCCUCCCAUGGUCCCUCUGAUCCUACAGACUAUCAUGCAUGGAUGAUGAUGGACACCUGUGGUCCCUCCUGCCCUACCAAUGACCAUGCAUGGACCCUGCCAUCCUCCCAUGGUCCCUCUGAUCCUACAGACUAUCAUGCAUGGAUGAUGAUGGACACCUGUGGUCCCUCCUGCCCUACCAAUGACCAUCCAUGGACACUGCUGGCCUCCCUGUGGCCCCUCCAGUCCCACAACCCAAAAUGUGUGGACCUCCUCAGCCCUGAAGGCUCUGUUCAACCAGUCCCCAAGGGUCCCUCCAGCUGUGGGCAACCCAGGUCUUCGUCACUCCAACAAAAGCCACCCAAAACACCCAUGAGCUUGGCAGGGUGA